CGUUGGUGAGAAUUGCACGUUCUUUAUUGAAUGCUGCGACCGCAUGAAUUGCGUCAAAGACAACAUAGGCUUGCUGCAAACUGGUGUUUGCGCCUGCAUUGACAGUUUUGAGCCUGGAGCCGAUAAUUAUACAUGCGAAUGGAAAAUACCUGUUAUGAUAACUGUAACAUUGGUGAUUGCCGGAAUUAUUGUCUUCGCAGCGUUUGCUCUGGUCAUCGGUUGUCUUGUUGUACAGUGGCGUAAAAGGAAGGAUGAGACGUCAAGUUGAUAAAAUAUGAUUUAAAGUGGCGCAGAAAUUCAAAUAAAACCUGGCAAA